UACAGAGGGCCCGAGCGUUGUUCGGAUUCAUUGGGCGUAAAGGGUGCGUAGGCGGCGGGGUAAGUCUGAUGUGAAAUCCCGGGGCUCAACCCCGGAACUGCAUUGGAUACUGCCUUGCUAGAGUACUGGAGAGGGAACUGGAAUUUACGGUGUAGCAGUGAAAUGCGUAGAGAUCGUAAGGAAGGCCAGUGGCGAAGGCGAGUUCCUGGACAGUUACUGACGCUGAGGCACGAAGGCCAGGGGAGCAAACGGG
rnacentral:rRNA from 1 species